CACUACUGGCUACUGUGCCAGCUGGUGAAUGGCUCGGCUCGAGAGCCGACGAAGGACGUGCCAAGCUGCGAAAAGCUCGUGGGACCCGCAUGGAGGGAAAGAACACGAGAUCUCCGAAUCGGAAUCCGUUUUACAAUUGCCACGCGCAAUAGGGAACUCCCUGAAUUGAAACAUCUCAGUAAGGGAAGGAAAAGAACGCAACAGCGAUGUCGUCAGUAACCGCGAGUAAACGCGACACAGCCCAAACCGAAGGUCUUCGGACCAAUGUGGUGUUCGGGUUGACAACCAAUUCUCGACAACUCAUCUGAAGUCUCCUGGAACGGAGCGUGAAACAGGGUGACAACCCCGUAAGAUGAGUCAGUACAGAAGGCGUCAAUACCAGAGUAGCAGGGGUCGGAUAUCCUCUGUGAACAACUCAGGCAUCCCCUGAGAAGGCUAAACACUCCUCGAGACCGAUAGCGAACAAGUAGCGUGAGCGAACGCUGAAAAGCACCCCGAAAAGGGCGGUGCAAUAGGGCCUGAAAUCAGCUGGCGAUCGAGCGACAGGGCGUACAAGGCGAUUCUCAAAACGACCGAGGAGCGAUCCUCCAGUAGGAAGAGAAUCGAGCCGGCGUCGUGUCGUGCGUUUUGAAAAACGACCCAGGGAGUGCACUUGAUUGGCAAGUCUAACCCGUGAACCGGGGAAGGCGCAGGGAAACCGAUACGGCCGCAGCACAUUCGUGUGAGGGCCACCGUGUUCAAGCGCGGGGAGUCAAUUGGGUGCGACCCGAAACCAGGCGAUCUACGCGCGAGCAAGGUGAAGCGUGGCGAAAGCCACGUGGAGGCCUGUUAGAGUUGGUAUUCUACAAUAUCCUCUCGUGACUCGUGUGUAGGGGUGAAAGGCCCAUCGAGCCUGGCAACAGCUGGUUCCAACCGAAACAUGUCGAAGCAUGACCUCUUCCGAGGUAGCCCGCGGGGUAGAGCUACCGAUUGGAUGACCCGCCUCCGAGAGGAGUCGGCCAUCCUGUCGAACUCCAAACCCGCAGGCGCUGUAGACGAAGGGAGUCCGGUGCGCGGGGUAAGCCUGUGUACCGUGAGGGGAACAACCCAGAGCCGGGUUAAGGUCCCAAAGUGUAGAUUAAGUGCGA
rnacentral:rRNA from 1 species